AUGUGGAAGCUUGCCAACGAUGGAAUAUACUCUACUAAGACCGCUUAUAUGGCGCAGUUCUCUGGGCUAUCUAGCUCAAGCUUGCAGGUUUCGGUUUGGAAGGCUUGGUCCCCUCCCAAAUGUAAAUUCUUUGCAUGGCUUGUCAAUCAAAACAUGAUUUGGACCGCGGACAGGCUUCAACGCAGAGGAUGGCCAAACUGCGACCGUUGCCCUUUGUGCAAGCAAGUACAAGAAUCGGCGGCUCACCUCCUUUUUCAAUGCAGGUUCUCUAUCCGUAUUUGGAAUGAGGUGUUCGCCUGGCUCGGUAUGCAUAUCCCCACGGCUCUCUGGCACCGGUUUGGCACAGUGAAAGCUUGGUGGGAUGAGCUCCUCACUUCCAAUGCUCAUCCAGUUAAAGCGUUGUCUUCAGCAUUACUUCUUGUGGGAUGGGAAAUCUGGAAGGAAAGAAAUGCGCGCGUUUUCAUAAACAAGGCGACACCGGUGGAGGUCGUCUUGCGAAACUUCAAAGAAGAAAUGUCGCUUUGGGCCAUUGCGGGUGCCAAGCACUUGAGUAAUGUAAUGCCGCGAGAGUAA
rnacentral:rRNA from 1 species